CACAGGUGCACCCGUAGUCCCCGACCGCUCCCGUGACAAAACAGCGAGCUAUUAAAGACUACCCGCGUCAUUUCUUCCGGAGUGUGUGCGCCGGGUUGGGGCGUGAGGUGCGAGAGAGGUAGGGGUGUGCGUUGGAGAGGAGAAGAGCAAAGAGGAGACGGAGUGGCGGCGGCGGUGACGAAGGGGAAGUGGGGAUGGAGUGCCUUUUGCCGCCGCUACUCCUCCCAGCCGCGAACCGCGUAUGGGCGCGGGGGCUGGCACCGUCGCAGGAGCGCCCCGGUCCGAAGGGCAGGCGCGGCGCUGCGGCGGCCGUUCCUCCGGACCCGAGCCUGUCGGAGGCGCCGCAGCUCACGCGGCCACUCCACAGACCCUUGGCGCACCGCCCCUUGACCGCGACGAAGACCAACACCCAAGGCCGCUGCGGUUCGGCAUGUAGACUCGGCGGCGGAGGUUAAACAAAGGAGGUACAAAGUCGAGGUCCACAGUGCACACAGGAAGUAGCCGAUAGGGAGGAAUGCCAACAACGGCGCAGGCGGACGACGCCCAGGAGGCACAAGCACUGACAACACAGCCGCAGCUUUCUUAAAGAGGACGUCAGUCCAUAGCGAGGGUUGUGUCCGCAGAAAAAAAACCCCCCAGCUAGUUCAAAAGGGAACAACCGAUGGCUAAAGUAUGCUCGCGGUAGUGGUACGACUAACACGAUGACCAUCCCGAGAGUCAACCCAACUUAAAGUCGUGUCUGGGAAAAAAAACGUUCGUUCUUGGCUACUCGGAUUAACUUUAUCAUCUAGCAACCUCAUUUCGAUGUAGGCAAACCAAGGACUUCCUUAAUUAGUCGACCAAUGUAUCAUAAAUCGUAGCCGGAUGCCACGUCCUAAACAAUCUAAAUAAAAGACACAUUAAAAAUAAACAGGUCAUUCUUAGUCCAAUCACAACCAUGGCUCUCUUUUUAUUUGCUGGGUGUUUUUAAUUACUAUACCGGCACCACAAGGGGUCAAACCACGUACGGUUCCUUCCUUCAGGACAUAAAUCUGGACUAGAACAUUAAUAAAACCACGGACGGGUCUUAUCGUCACACGCGAGUACACCAUUCAUGUCAUUCGGUUGAGACCAUCGAACGAAUCAUGACCUUUUCCUUAUUCGUCCAACACUCUAAGGAUUGUUGGGAAAAACACAACUAGUUUAACCACUAUACACGAUCGACCCAUAAUUAUUUCUAAGAGACCAUGAAAAAACACACUUCAGACACAAAGAGUCACAGCAACGGAGCACACAAAGGCCAGAGAAGACGAAAUACUUACUCUACCAACAGUAGAGGGUAAGUGCAACCGGCGAACCAGUACACGCUGACAUAUCUACCAACAACCACACUACAACAAGCAACCAAACAACAACUACAAUUAGACGAAUAUCGGACAAACAACAAUACAGCACCGUUCUACACGAGAGCUACAGUACAAAAUAAAACUAAAAAACACCAAGAUCGGCCACGAAUUAAAAACAGGUGCAUAAAUACCGAUUUCAGGUACGUAUGUAUGAGUACCUAAACUAAAACACGAUACCGGGAACACUUGUUAGUUCGAUAGUCCACUCUUAGCUAAGCACCGAGAAAUACACCAAGAAGCCUGAGUGUGAGACAAGGGAAAGAAAAACAUGGAGGAUAAAUACCCGAGUGAAAACAAGCACUCAGCUAGUUCCUGGUCUACCCACAGAACACGAGUAGAGGCCUAUGCCUAGACAUAGGAAGAGACACAUUCCUCUUCUUCUACUUCACUAUAGUAAAAGAAGCACCAACGACAAUAUUUAAAACGAUAUUGUUCCAUCGAGUACACAACAUAAGGACAAACCAUCUGUACAGGACGAAGGUUCCUAACAAGAAGACGAGUGUCCAACGUAAGGACAACGAAGUGUUACAAACAUAAAUGGUAUAAUGAGGAGUUACGGUACUCAACCCUCGUCGAGGUUAAGGUAGUCUACAUGUACUCGAUAUACAACUAUUCGAGCGCAUAGUCAACCGCCUACAAGAACUAAAGAAGUCAAAUCCCAGACACUACACGUACCCACAGUGGCGGCCACGGAUAUACGAAUAGAAGAAACGUCAUGCACAAACGUGCUAAUCCGAAAGAAGUUCAAGAUGUCUUUGUUGUACGGAACUGUCUAGUUCCCUCAGGCAUUGAAGGACACCACCGCUCCUCGUGUAUUAGGCAGGCGGUAUAAGUUUUCCGGUUCCGCGGGGAAGUUGUUGUGCGCGUGAGUUCUAUCAUCGGACCUGACAAAGACAUUCAGCGAGUAUCGAUUUGAGAUGACACGUUUUCGACAACGACCUCUUGCACCAUACAUUUGGAAGUACCAUUGGUGGCCGCAUUCAUUUCGUUACUGAGUAGUUACGAGACAGCGCUCUGGAACUACUCGGGAAAUGAAAGUCAACCUGAAGUUUUAGUUGUACCAUGUGUCGGUGUUAACGUGCCCUGUCCGGUCAGUUCGCGUUUUUUCCUAGGACGUCCGUAGUAUUAGUAGUAAUAUCAACUUAGCUUACUUGCUUACGUGUACGUCCUUCUUUUCCCCCUUUAAUGCUCUUUAUGAUACAUUAUACCAUGUACGGAGACCUCACUCAAAAACCGUCAAAAGGGAAGCGGUUCUCUUC
rnacentral:rRNA from 1 species